rnacentral:rRNA from 1 species
GACGAACGCUGGCGGCGUGCUUAACACAUGCAAGUGGAGCGACGAACCGGGCUUCGGCCCGGGGCAGAGCCGCGAACGGGUGAGUAACACGUGGGUUACCUGCCCUGUUGACAGGGACAACCCGGGGAAACCCGGGCUAAUACCUGAUGUGCCCUUCGGGGAAGGGAAGCUUCGGCCUCCGCAACAGAUGGCCGCGGCGCAUUAGCUUGUUGGUGGGGUAACGGCCUACCAAGGCGACGAUGCGUAGCUGGCUGAGAGGACGAUCAGCCACACUGGGACUGAGACACGGCCCAGACUCCUACGGGAGGCAGCAGUGGGGAAUCUUGCGCAAUGCGCGAAAGCGUGACGCAGCAACGCCGCGUGGAGGAAGACGGCCUUGGUU